GAAUGAACUCUUUGCUUUCAUUUCCCUUUGUGGUUCGAUUUGAUCCCAAGAAGUCUUGGAGCAAUGAAGUCUACCUCCAGCUUAUUUGCAUAAGUUCACCAGAGAAGCUCUAAAGCAGUUGCAUAAGACCAAGAGGGUAUUCCAGUAAAAUUCAAAAUAAUCUGCAGAAAUGGCAACUCUUCCUCAUCGUCCUCACCGGCUGCUCCUCAAUACAGAACCAAGUACACCAG
rnacentral:misc_RNA from 1 species